CGGUGUGGUUCAUGACUGGGGUGAAGUCGUAACAAGGUAGCCCUAGGGGAACCUGGGGCUGGAUCACCUCCUUACU
rnacentral:rRNA from 1 species